GAAUGAUGAAGGUCUUAGGAUUGUAAAAUUCUUUCACCGGGGACGAUAAUGACGGUACCCGGAGAAGAAGCCCCGGCUAACUUCGUGCCAGCAGCCGCGGUAAUACGAAGGGGGCUAGCGUUGCUCGGAAUUACUGGGCGUAAAGGGAGCGUAGGCGGACAUUUAAGUCAGGGGUGAAAUCCCGGGGCUCAACCUCGGAAUUGCCUUUGAUACUGGGUGUCUUGAGUAUGAGAGAGGUAUGUGGAACUCCGAGUGUAGAGGUGAAAUUCGUAGAUAUUCGGAAGAACACCAGUGGCGAAGGCGACAUACUGGCUCAUUACUGACGCUGAGGCUCGAAAGCGUGGGGAGCAAACAGGAUUAGAUAC
rnacentral:rRNA from 1 species